UUAAGUUCAGCGGGUAGUCCUACCUGAUUUGAGGUCUAGCAUAAAGUAGUUGCCCAGGGGCGGGUUAUGAGCGGGCAUCACGACCGGACCUGACGAAACUUAUUACGUCGAGCCAUAGGUCGAUACUCCCACUAAGGUCUUUAAGGCGAGCCGUGUGACCGGCAGACGCCCAACUCCAAGUCCACCGCCAGGUAAGAAAC
rnacentral:misc_RNA from 1 species